rnacentral:rRNA from 1 species
GUCGAGGAUCUUCCGCAAUGGGCGAAAGCCUGACGGAGCGACGCCGCGUGGAGGACGAAGGCCUUCGGGUUGUAAACUCCUGUCACGUGAUGAGAAUAGCGGAGCGCUAACACCGCUUCGUUUGACAAAUCAUGAGAGGAAGUCACGGCUAACUCUGUGCCAGCAGCCGCGGUAAUACAGAGGUGGCUAGCGUUGUUCGGAAUCACUGGGCAUAAAGGGCGCGUAGGCGGUCGGAAUAGUCGGUCGUGAAAGCCCUCGGCCCAACCGAGGAACUGCGUCCGAUACUGUCCGGCUAGAGUGCGGGAGGGGAGAGUGGAACUCCUGGUGGAGCGGUGAAAUGCGUAGAUAUCAGGAGGAACACCGGUGGCGAAAGCGACUCUCUGGUCCGCAACUGACGCUGAGGCGCGAAAGCCAGGGGAGCGAACGGGAUUAGAAACCCUGGUAGUCC